ensembl:lncRNA
AGAACCAGAGAGAUGGCAUCAUGAGAAGGAAGAAACCCAGGCAUUGUUGGCUUUGGAGACAGAAGAGGGCUGUGAGCCAAGGGAACUGGGCAGCUUCCAUAAACCAGGAAAGGCAAGAACGUGGACUUUGCUUAGAGCUUCUGGACAGGAACACAGCUCUGUUGACACUUUGAUUUUAGCCCCGUGAGACCUGUUUUGGACUUCUGACUUCUGAAACUCCUUUAACAUUCCACAUUCUGCAUUGUACAUGGUGAAUCACUACUGUUUUGCACCAGUGUGCCCACUUGUGUGCCUAUAAAGUACAAGCUCCAGAUUGAAAAAGCUUCUAGAUGGAUCCUUUCCAUGUUUGGUGUUUUUUCUACAAACUCUGUGCCUCAGCAACCCUUUCUAAGUGGGAGGAGGCAAUCCCAGGGUAACCUUUCGGGAAUAAAAGACAGGCAGUUCAGUUCAGUCGCUCAGUGGUGUCCGACUCUUUGCGACCCCGUGAAUCGCAGCACGCCAGGCCUCCCUGUCCAUCACCAACUCCCGGAGUUCACUCAAACUCACGUCCGUCGAGUCAGUGAUGCCAUCCAGCCAUCUCAUCCUCUAUCGUCCCCUUUUCCUCCUGCCCCCAAUCCCUCCCAGCAUCAGAGUCUUUUUCCAAUGAGUCAACUCUUCACAUGAGGUGGCCAAAGUACUGGAGUUUCAGCUUUAGCAUCAUUCCUUCCAAAGAAAUCCCAGGGCUGAUCUCCUUCAGAAUGGACUGGUUGGAUCUCCUUGCAGUCCAAGGGACUCUCAAG